rnacentral:rRNA from 1 species
AGGACGAACGCUGGCGGCGUGCUUAACACAUGCAAGUCGAGCGGAAAGGCCCUUCGGGGUACUCGAGCGGCGAACGGGUGAGUAACACGUGAGUAAUCUGCCCCUAGCUCUGGGAUAGCUCCGGGAAACCGGGAUUAAUACCGGAUACGACCACCUUAGACAUCUUUUGCGGUGGAAAGAAUUUCGGCUAGGGAUGAGCUCGCGGCCUAUCAGCUUGUUGGUGGGGUAAUGGCCUACCAAGGCGACGACGGGUA